rnacentral:rRNA from 1 species
UACGUAGGGGGCUAGCGUUGUCCGGAAUCAUUGGGCGUAAAGCGCGUGUAGGCGGUCUGGUAAGUCUGCUGUGAAAGUCGGGGGCUCAACCCUCGGAAGCCGGUGGAUACUGCUGGGCUAGAGUGCGGAAGAGGCGAGUGGAAUUCCUGGUGUAGCGGUGAAAUGCGCAGAUAUCAGGAGGAACACCAAUUGCGAAGGCAGCUCGCUGGGACGUGACUGACGCUGAGACGCGAAAGCGUGGGGAGCAAACAGG